CCUGUGAAGAUAAUGACUGUAGCAGGUAAAGAAACCCCGGCUAACUCCGUGCCAGCAGCCGCGGUAAUACGGAGGGGGUUAGCGUUGUUCGGAAUUACUGGGCGUAAAGCGCGCGUAGGCGGACAUUUAAGUCAGAGGUGAAAUCCCAGGGCUCAACCCUGGAACUGCCUUUGAUACUGGGUGUCUUGAGUUCGAGAGAGGUGAGUGGAAUUCCGAGUGUAGAGGUGAAAUUCGUAGAUAUUCGGAGGAACACCAGUGGCGAAGGCGGCUCACUGGCUCGAUACUGACGCUGAGGUGCGAAAGUGUGGGGAGCAAACAGGAUUAGAUACCCUGGUAGUCCACACCGUAAACGAUGAAUGCCAGUCGUCGGGUAGUAUACUAUUCGGUGACACACCUAACGGAUUAAGCAUUCCGCCGGGGGAGUACGGUCGCAAGAUUAAAACUCA
rnacentral:rRNA from 1 species